UGCCAGCCGCCGCGGUAAUACGAAGGGGGCGAGCGUUGUUCGGAAUUACUGGGCGUAAAGGGCGCGUAGGCGGUCUUUUAAGUUAGGCGUGAAAGCCCCGGGCUCAACCCGGGAACUGCGCUUAAUACUGGAAGACUAGAAAACGGAAGAGGGUAGUGGAAUUCCCAGUGUAGGGGUGAAAUGCGUAGAUAUUGGGAGGAACAUCAAUGGCGAGGGCACCCUGCUAGGCCGAUACUGACACUGAAAGACGAAAGCUAGGGGAGCAAAGGGGAUUAGAUA
rnacentral:rRNA from 1 species